rnacentral:rRNA from 1 species
GAUGAACGCUGGCGGCGUGCCUAAUACAUGCAAGUCGAGCGAACGGACGAGAAGCUUGCUUCUCUGAUGUUAGCGGCGGACGGGUGAGUAACACGUGGAUAACCUACCUAUAAGACUGGGAUAACUUCGGGAAACCGGAGCUAAUACCGGAUAAUAUUUUGAACCGCAUGGUUCAAAAGUGAAAGACGGUCUUGCUGUCACUUAUAGAUGGAUCCGCGCUGCAUUAGCUAGUUGGUAAGGUAACGGCUUACCAAGGCAACGAUGCAUAGCCGACCUGAGAGGGUGGUCGGCCACACUGGAACGGAGACACGGUCCAGACUCCUACGGGAGGCAGCAGUAGGGAAUCUUCCGCAAUGGGCGAAAGCCUUACGGAGCAACGCCGCGUGAGUGAUGAAGGUCUUCGGAUCGUAAAACUCUGUUAUUAGGGAAGAACAUAUGUGUAAGUAACUGUGCACAUCUUGACGGUACCUAAUCAGAAAGCCACGGCUAACUACGUG